rnacentral:rRNA from 1 species
AUACAGAGGGUGCAAACGUUGUUCGGAAUUACUGGGCAUAAAGCGCACGCAGGCGGUCUGGAAAGUGCGGUGUGAAAGCCCCCGGCUCAACCGGGGAACUGCAUCGCAAACUGCCAGACUAGAGGACGGUAGGGGAGACUGGAACUCCUGGUGGAGCGGUGAAAUGCGUAGAUAUCAGGAGGAACACCGGUGGCGAAGGCGAGUCUCUGGUCCGUUUCUGACGCUGAGGUGCGAAAGCUAGGGUAGCGAACGGGAUUAGAAACCCCGGUAGUCC